CCGGGUGGCGUGAUGCGCCCGGCCACCAGACGCCAGCCCGCUGGGCCCCCGCCCUCCUGACGCCCCGCCCCGUGGCCACGCGUGGGGCCCGGACGGCGGAGGCGGGGUAGCGCCGGCCUCCAGGGAUGGGAGGGGGAUGGGGUCCGGGCAGAUGAAGACUCCCGGCUUCAGCGGCAGCGCGGCGCGAUUGGAGGCCUUGGGACUCUGGGUCCUAGGGCAUAGAUCUGCCCCUCUCUUGGCCUGGGGUUGGGGGCUUUGCUGCUUAAGAGGCACAGGGAGUUGGGCAACUGAGGCCCUGCGGGGUAGACCGACCUUCCUGCCUGACUGCGGGCAGGGACUGGCGGUGGCUGGGCCUGAAAUCCUGGCCUCCUACAGCGGACGGCCCCCACACCUCGCCGUGGAGCUGGCCGUGCAGCAGGGUGGCAGAGCCACCCUUUCCCCUGGCCCCUCCUGGCCUCUGCCCCCCCACUCCACCCCAGAGCCUUUGCGCUGCGGAGGCCACAGGGCUGCAUUCCUCGCUGUGUACCCGCUGUAGUGGAGCAGUCAUUCAGAAGGGAGACCUGGGAUUCGCCGUCCACCCCCGGAGCUAAACAGGACCCCAGUGACUUCAGCCAGGCCAGCGCUGGGGCCCCUGUCGAGCCCAGAUGCCCUUAGGCUUAGCCGGUGGGGGAGGUGCAGCCAGCCCCAACUGAAGGAGAACCUUUCUCGAGAGCUGGCCACCGCUCUGAACCUUGCUUUUCCCUUCAUGAAAAUGGAGUGUAUAAGCUGG